rnacentral:rRNA from 1 species
AAAUUGAAGAGUUUGAUCAUGGCUCAGAUUGAACGCUGGCGGCAGGCCUAACACAUGCAAGUCGAACGGUAACAGGAAGCAGCUUGCUGCUUUGCUGACGAGUGGCGGACGGGUGAGUAAUGUCUGGGAAACUGCCUGAUGGAGGGGGAUAACUACUGGAAACGGAGGCUA